GCUGGAAAAAACAUCGGCGAUGUAUCGAUACAUCGAUGUUUUUCGAAAAUCGGGAAACACCGAGGUUUCAAAACAUCGAUGUUCGAUGUUUCCUCUUUACCCAUCACUACUUGGCAGGAAAAAAUCUUGAUUACAGUCUGAUUCCGAAAGUUUGAUAUUGGUGUUGGCGGCGCUCAGAAAUGGAGAAGGCUUUGAAAGAGCAGAAUAACAAUGUUGCCUGUCAAGAGGAAGAAAGCGACAGUACGGUCCCAAGAAAGCGGAAAAAAUAUGGGAAGUCUUCUGUGUGGAACUUUUUUAACAAAUCGGCUGAUGGCAGGACAGCCAAAUGUAUUAAACUUAAAAUCCCAUUUCUUCUUUUAACAGAUAUCAAAUGACAACGCUUUCAAAACAUGCGUUUUUAAAUACUUCUGCGUUCCGGCCACCUCUACUGAAAGCGAGAGGAUGUUCAGUAAGGCCGGGCUUAUUAUCAGCGAAAAGCGAAGCUCGCUUAAGGCUAAAAACGUCAAUAUGUUAUUAUUUUUAAACAAAAAUGACUGGAUUUCUUAA